rnacentral:rRNA from 1 species
GUACACGCUGUGACUAGCAUAUCAAUAAGCGGAGGAAAAGGAAACUAACAAGGAUUCCCUUAGUAACGGCGAGUGAAGCGGGAAGAGCUCAAAUUUGAAAUCUUCAAGGUUUUACCUUGACGAAUUGUAGUUUAAAGAAGUGUUUUCUGCUGAAGUUUUGGUAAAAGUUCUUUGGAAUAGGACAUCAUAGAGGGUGAGAAUCCCGUAUUUGACCAUUAUUUUCAGCUUUGUGAUACACUUUCAAUGAGUCGGAUUGUUUGGGAAUGCAGUCCAAAAUGGGUGGUAAAUUUCAUCUAAAGCUAAAUACUGGCGAGAGACCGAUAGCGAACAAGUACCGUGAGGGAAAGAUGAAAAGAACUUUGAAAAGAGAGUUAAACAGUACGUGAAAUUGUCAAAAGGGAAGCGUUUGACACCAGUGUUGUUUUCCUCGAAAAUCAAUUAAAAAUGGCUCGAUUUUGUAUUGCUGAGACCUUAAAAGCUCACUGUACAUUUUUCGUGUCUUUUUUAAUGCACUUUUCGUUUAACAAGUCAACAUCAGUUUCUUUUGUUGUAAAAGGGUCGUUGGAAGGUGGCUUUCUUUUCGGAGAAAGUGUUUAUAGCCUUUGGCCUCUGCAAUCGGAGAGACUGAGGUCUGCAGCGUAGACUCUUCGGGGUUAGAUACAUUUGUGCUAAGUUAUAGCUUUUUAUAGACAACUUGUUGACUAUAAUUAGUCUUGUAGCUUACUCGCUUAUGCUAUUUUACCUACGCUUAGGAUGUUGAUCUACAGAGCGAGAGU